GCCGGGCGCGGUGGCUCACGCCUGUAAUCCCAGCACUUUGGGAGGCUGAGGCAGGCAGAUCACUUGAGGUCAGGAGUUCGAGACCAGCCUGGCCAACAUGGUGAA
rnacentral:SRP_RNA from 14 species